rnacentral:rRNA from 1 species
GAUGAACGCUGGCGGCGUGCCUAAUACAUGCAAGUCGAGCGAACAGACGAGGAGCUUGCUCCUCUGACGUUAGCGGCGGACGGGUGAGUAACACGUGGAUAACCUACCUAUAAGACUGGGAUAACUUCGGGAAACCGGAGCUAAUACCGGAUAAUAUAUUGAACCGCAUGGUUCAAUAGUGAAAGACGGUUUUGCUGUCACUUAUAGAUGGAUCCGCGCCGCAUUAGCUAGUUGGUAAGGUAACGGCCUACCAAGGCAACGAUGCGUAGCCGACCUGAGAGGGUGAACGGCCACCCUUGAACAGGAACACGGUCCAGACUCCUACGGGAGGCAGCAGUAGGGAAUCUUCCGAAAUGGGCGAAAGCCUGACGGAGCAACGCCGGGUGGGGGAUGAAGGUCUUCGGGUCGUAAAACUCUGUUAUUAGGGAAGAACAAAUGUGUAAGUAACUAUGCACGUCUUGACGGUACCUAAUCAGAAAGCCACGGCUAACUACGUG